AGACGUGCAAAAUAAAAUAUCCAGGUUUGCGAGUGUGCAACUCCGAAGACGAAGAGCUCAUACAGAGGGUAUUCCAAGACGAAGAGCUCUCCGAAGACGAAGAGCUCAAUCAUUCUCAUCAAUUUUCGACAAUAUCCAGGCAUCUGUUAUAGAGGAGAGGAAACAAAGUAAAUCCUUCUGCUCCAAUCCCUUUUUAUAGAUACUUUCAAUGACUUCAACACAUGGGUCGUUCAACACAUGGGUCAUUCAAUGUGAGGCUUCUCUCUCGUCUUCAGUUACUGAGUGUCACACACGACAAUGGAUAACCACUCUGUUCCUUAAGGCAGACAUAAACGAUGAUGUCAAGUUCAUACUAAAUCAAAAUAUAGAUGUAUAGCUGACGAUAUAUCAAAGUGAUCAGGUAAUAGAUGAAGAUUACGCAUAUAAAAUAUAUUGUCAAUUGAUUCAUGCCUUAAAGAGUAGGACUUUCGGGGGCUUCUCAUAAUGCCGUUCUCGAUCAAAUGCUUUGGAUGGAUGGUACCAUUUUGCUAGCUCAGGCAACACUUGUUGUUCAAACUUUCAACAUUUGGAGGCAAGUAGAGUUACUAGAGCUGCAAUUUGGAAGGCUUUGAAGAGUUGUUUGGAAUUUUAUAGCUUGUGUGAAUUUUACAUUUUGUAAGACAGAUAUGUUUGUGUAGAACUAUAUAUUUGAUUAAUUAAAUUUUAAUG